AACGAACGCUGGCGGCAGGCCUCAUACAUGCAAGUCGAGCGAUUAAGACUCCUUCGGGAGUGUAUAAAGCGGCGAACGGGUGAGUAACAGGUGGAUGAUCUACCUUCCGGUGGGGGAUAACGGCUGGAAACGGCCGCUAAUACCGCAUUCGGUUAAUACGCUGCGGCGUAUUAAAGAAAGGCGCUUCAAAGCGCCGCCGGGAGAUGAGUCCGCCCCCCAUUAGCUAGUUGGUGAGAUAACAGCUCACCAAGGCAACGAUGGGUAGCCGAACUGAGAGGUUGAUCGGCCACACUGGAACUGAGACACGGUCCAGACACCUACGGGUGGCAGCAGUAGGGAAUAUUGGGCAAUGGGCGAAAGCCUGACCCAGCCAUGCCGCGUGAGUGAUGAAGGUCCUAGAGAUUGUAAAACUCUUUUCUGAGGAAAGAAUAAAUAGGGAAGGAAAUGUCCUUAUUUGACGGUACCUCUAGGAAUAAGAACGGCUAACUCCGUGCCAGCAGCCGCGGU
rnacentral:rRNA from 1 species